GAGAACUUGCUUCUCUUGAGAGCGGCGGACGGGUGAGUAAUGCCUAGGAAUCUGCCUGGUAGUGGGGGAUAACGCUCGGAAACGGACGCUAAUACCGCAUACGUCCUACGGGAGAAAGCAGGGGACCUUCGGGCCUUGCGCUAUCAGAUGAGCCUAGGUCGGAUUAGCUAGUUGGUGAGGUAAUGGCUCACCAAGGCGACGAUCCGUAACUGGUCUGAGAGGAUGAUCAGUCACACUGGAACUGAGACACGGUCCAGACUCCUACGGGAGGCAGCAGUGGGGAAUAUUGGACAAUGGGCGAAAGCCUGAUCCAGCCAUGCCGCGUGUGUGAAGAAGGUCUUCGGAUUGUAAAGCACUUUAAGUUGGGAGGAAGGGCAGUUACCUAAUACGUAUCUGUUUUGACGUUACCGACAGAAUAAGCACCGGCUAACUCUGUGCCAGCAGCCGCGGUAAUACAGAGGGUGCAAGCGUUAAUCGGAAUUACUGGGCGUAAAGCGCGCGUAGGUGGUUUGUUAAGUUGGAUGUGAAAUCCCGGGCUCAACCUGGGAACUGCAUUCAAAACUGACAAGCUA
rnacentral:rRNA from 1 species